rnacentral:rRNA from 1 species
UACGUAGGGUGCAGGCGUUAAUCGGAAUUACUGGGCGUAAAGCGUGCGCAGGCGGUUCGUUAUGUCCGAUGUGAAAGCCCCGAGCUCAACUUGGGAAUGGCAUUGGAAACUGGCGGGCUGGAGUGUGGCAGAGGGGGGUGGAAUUCCACGUGUAGCAGUGAAAUGCGUAGAGAUGUGGAGGAACACCGAUGGCGAAGGCAGCCCCCUGGGCCAACACUGACGCUCAGGCACGAAAGCGUGGGGAGCAAACAGG